ncrna:Salmonella enterica subsp. indica serovar 6,14,25:z10:1,(2),7 str. 1121 EFASI RNA
AAAGAUCGAUACCGAGGGGGGCAUGACGCCUCGGAGAAUCCCCUGCCCACGCAGGCAGCCCGUACCGCGUACUGGCUGAAACUCCCUACACCUCAACAAACUGCCACUCCGGCGUGAAGGUAUCGUUCU